AUGCAUGUCUAAGUAUAAGCACUUGUACUGUGAAACUGCGAAUGGCUCAUUAAAUCAGUUAUCGUUUAUUUGAUUGUACCUUUUACUACUUGGAUAACCGUGGUAAUUCUAGAGCUAAUACAUGCGAAAAGUCCCGACUUCUGGAAGGGAUGUAUUUAUUAGAUUCAAAACCAAUGCGGGUUCUGCCCGGUUCUUUGGUGAUUCAUAAUAACUUUUCGAAUCGUACGGCCUUGCGCUGGCGAUGUUUCAUUCAAAUUUCUGCCCUAUCAACUGUCGAUGGUAAGGUAUUGGCUUACCAUGGUUACAACGGGUGACGGAGAAUUAGGGUUUGAUUCCGGAGAGGGAGCCUGAGAGACGGCUACCACA
rnacentral:rRNA from 1 species